GCUUAACGGGAACCGGCGCCCGGAAGGUCAGCGUGUGAAGUAGGCGCUGGCAACGCGGGGUUACCCGCUGUUAUUGAGGAGUAACGGCCCAGCGGACCACCCAGGCUUGAGGCAGCGGCGGGAACCACUCGGUUUGCUGCGAUACCAUGGAAGGAGGCGGGGGAAGCGGCAACAAAACCACAGGGGGAUUGGCCGGCUUUUUCGGAGCCGGCGGAGCAGGUUACUCGCACGCGGAUUUGGCUGGCGUCCCGCAGUCAGGACCUCGUUCUGUCACCCAUAUUGGGGUGCGGUGGCAUGAUUAUAGUUCACUGAAGCCUCGCACUCCUGAGCUCAAACAAUCCUCCCCUCUAAGCCUCCUAAGUAGCUGGGACUCUAGUAACUGGUAUGAACCCUCUGUCUCCUUAUUUAAAUGUGGAUCCACGAUACCUCGUGCAGGAUACAGAUGAGUUUAUUUUACCUACCGGAGCUAAUAAAACCCGGGGCAGAUUUGAGCUGGCCUUCUUUACGAUUGGAGGAUGUUGCAUGACAGGGGCUGCGUUUGGUGCAAUGAAUGGUCUUCGGCUAGGAUUGAAGGAAACCCAGAACAUGGCCUGGUCCAAACCAAGAAAUGUACAGAUUUUGAAUAUGGUGACUAGGCAAGGGGCACUUUGGGCUAAUACUCUAGGUUCUCUGGCUUUGCUCUAUAGUGCAUUUGGUGUCAUCAUUGAGAAAACACGAGGUGCAGAAGAUGACCUUAACACAGUAGCAGCUGGAACCAUGACAGGCAUGUUGUAUAAAUGUACAG
rnacentral:lncRNA from 1 species